rnacentral:misc_RNA from 1 species
GUGAGUCAUCGAAUCUUUGAACGCACAUUGCGCCCCUUGGUAUUCCAUGGGGCAUGCCUGUUCGAGCGUCAUCUACACCCUCAAGCUCUGCUUGGUGUUGGGCGUCUGUCCCCGCCUCCGCGCGCGGACUCGCCCCAAAUCCAUUGGCGGCAGCCUUCGCCCCUUCCCGCGCAGCACAUUGCGCUUCUCGAGGGCGGCCCCAGGCCUGCGACCCACCAAGAUGACCAACCUUUGACCUCGGAUCAGGUAGGGAUACCCGCUGAACUUAAGCAUAUCAAUAAGCGGAGGA